rnacentral:lncRNA from 1 species
ACUUUCUAUACUUUCUAUUUUAAGGAUUAUAAAAUAGUAAAUAUGGCAGGAGCAAAAAAGUUAGGGCAUUGUAGUUGUUCAAGUGUAACAAGCUAAUGAUAGAGCCUCUGAAAAGGGCAGCACGUGAGGGAAAACUCUAGCACUCUCAGGGCAGUGUAAAUUCAGGUUAGUAAAACAGCUAAAUAAUGUCAUUAAUUUCAUCACUACAAGUGUUCUAAACACUGGGCAGAUGGCUGCUAUGUCUUUAAACUACUUUUUCUCUGUAAGUCUUCUGCUUUGAAAUAGCAGCAUCUUUCGUUAGUGGCAGUGUUUGUUUGGGUCAGUUCUUUCAGUUUUUACCAAAGCAAAACUCCCACUGAAAAUCUUUACACCAGCCUUUUACAGUUUUGAAUGACAUAUAUGGAAACAGGUCUGGUUUUCAUAAUGUUACAUUUAAGCUCUUUGAAGAUAGGUGUAAGUACAUUUAGGAAAAUCUAUGAUUUUUAAGGGUUCCUGUUUUUAAACAAGUCCCAUAAAUAAAAGCUAGUUAAUGCAUAAGAGAUGAUAUCAAAUGCAAUCUGACUUAAAGUUCUAGAAAUGUUUUCACAUAUUCUCUACAUACAUUGUUUGCAAUAUUAGUGUAAACAACUAAAAAAACUAAUAGUACUUAGAAAAGUGGGGAAGGAUUUUAUUAAUUCAGCAAAAGUGUCCAACCCAGAACAGAAUAAAAUUGCGUGAGAGAAGGAGGAAAUGUCUGUUUUGUGGAUGUUCUCUACUGUUUGAUGUGUGCACUGGAGUACAUGUUUUAUACUGGUCGUGCACUACCUUUGCAGCUGGAGUGGAGUCAGUCUGCGUGUGCUCCAUAGGUCUGGCACUUCCCGGUCCUUGUCAGGCUUAUGUAUAUAUGGUAUCUGACACACUUGCACAGUGCAUCCAUCUCUAGUACUGCAGGAAAAACUACAAGCUUCCUUUCAGCUUAAUACAUUUCUGAAAUUUAGACCUUUCCAUCCUGGUGGAUGUCUCUGCAGCCCUUGUAUUCGUGAUGUCACUUGACUGGUGCAGCGGACACGGACAUGCUUGAGAGAAAAUGAAUGAAAUUGCACAUUACCAUGGUGUUACGGUCUCCUGCUGCUACAUAUAUGCCUGAGU